GGGGGCGUAGCUCAGCUGGUUAGAGCGCUUGCUUGACAUGCAAGAGGUCAUUGGUUCGAUCCCAACCGUCCCCACCA
rnacentral:tRNA from 1 species